AUGGAGGAGCUUGCGACACUAACAGGGGCAGAGAAAGUCUUCCGUGAAUGCAGUGUCACGUGCUUUACGGAGACAUGGCUGCAUAAUAACUUCCCGGAUCUGGUGGUGGAUUUAAAAAGACUUAUGUGUGUGAGUGCGGACGGCGACCCUCUCUUCUGUCUGUGUUUGUCUGUGUGUGUGUGUGUGCGUGGCAUUCGGUGUCCGUAUGUCGCCCCCACUUCCCCUCUUUGUGUCCACCAGAUGGCGACCCAGCCGCGGAGCCGAACCCCAGGGAGGAGGUUCCUGACUCGAAUGUGCUGGUCCAAGAUGAGGUGGACGAGCCCCAAGGUCCGAGGGUCCGUAGCCGCCAUGCGGGACCAUGCCGGGGAGCCAGGCCGAGGGUCCGGGGCCGCCAGGCGGGCCCACGCCGGGGAGCCAGGCCGAGGGUCCGGGUCCUCCAAGGGGAGGAUACAGCAGGGCAGGAGCCCUGUGGUUGCCGCCGACCACCCCGCCGCCUCCACUGAUGUUACUGCUUGGGCUCCGAGGACGUAGCCCUUGGAGGGGGGGCUCUGUCAGGAUGACUGUGUCUGGUCUCAUCACCGGUGGCCAAUCCUGAUCCUGCAUAAAAGCCGAAUAUUUCCGCCCCUUCAGAAGGGAUGACAUUUUCGUGGACGUAUGUGAAUGAGUGUAUUUUCAGUUCUGGCAAUCGCCACAGGCCUGCGGGCAAGUUUGUUCUUUAUUUAAGUCAAAUUGUUUUCGGCCACCGAGCCGCGUUUAUGUUUAUUUAUUGUUUAUUAAUAAAAACCCCUUCUGAUCAUGUCACACCUCUGUGCUUCCUUCCCCCGUAAGUCUGUAGUUGUGACAGUCCUGAAUCGAAACCCGUCUGCGUUUGUGGCUAUAACGGGCGACUUCAACCACUCUAACCUUUCAACUGUUCUACCCACGUUCAAACAAUACGUAAAAUGCAAAACCAGAGACAAUAAAACACUGGACCUGUUCUACGCCAAUACUGCGGAGGCAUACACCUCCAUCCCUCUCCCUCCCCUGGGCAGGGCUGAUCACAAUCUUGUCCACCUCCAGCCUUAUUAAAAACCUGUCGCAGCCUUAUUAAAAACCUGUAAUAAAAACUGUUACAAGAUGGACACGGGAGACAGAGGAGACCCUGCAGGGAUGUUUUGAGGUGACUGACUGGGAUGUUCUCAGCAACCCUCAUGGGGACAAUAUUGACGAACUGACAAGCUGUGUUACGGAUUAUAUAAACAUCUGUGUGGACACUGUUGUUCCCCAAAAAACCAUUCAUUGCUUCCCCAACAAUAAACCCUGGGUAACUAAAGACAUCAAAGCUACACUGAACAAUAAAAAGAGAGCCUUCAGAAACAAAGAACAGCUAAGAGUGGUGCAGAAGGAGCUCAAAAUCAAGAUUACAGAGG
ensembl:lncRNA